rnacentral:rRNA from 1 species
UACGGUGAAUACGUUCCCGGACCUUGCACACACCGCCCGUCAACGCCACUGGAAGCCGGGUCGUACCUAAACGUCGGUAACCCGUAAGGUAGCCGCCUAGGUAAACUGGUGACUGGGCCGU